rnacentral:sRNA from 1 species
GAGGGAACAUGAGGCCCCCAAGACCACACAGUCUAUCGCUACCUCCGUGCCUUCCUGCCGGAAAGUGGCUUUACCAUCCUGCCCUGCACGCGCUACUCCAUGGAGACCAACGGGGCCAAGAUCGUGUCCACUCGUGCUUGGAAAAAGAAUGAGAAGCUGGAGCUGCUGGUGGGCUGCAUUGCAGAGCUGCGGGAGGCAGAUGAGGGGCUGCUGAGGGCCGGUGAGAAUGACUUCAGCAUCAUGUACUCAACCCGCAAGCGGAGUGCUCAGCUGUGGCUGGGCCCAGCCGCCUUCAUCAACCAUGACUGCAAACCCAACUGCAAGUUUGUGCCUGCAGAUGGGAACGCAGCCUGCGUGAAGGUGCUCCGGGACAUUGAGCCUGGGGACGAGGUGACAUGCUUCUACGGCGAGGGCUUCUUCGGCGAGAAGAAUGAGCACUGUGAAUGCCACACCUGUGAGAGGAAAGGUGAAGGAGCUUUCCGAACCAGGCCUAGGGAGCCCACGUUGCCACCACGGCCCCUGGACAAGUACCAGCUGCGUGAGACCAAGCGGCGGCUGCAGCAAGGCCUGGACAGUGGCAGCCGACAGGGCCUGCUGGGCCCUCGGGCCUGCGUGCACCCAUCCCCGCUGCGCCGGG